rnacentral:lncRNA from 1 species
AUGGCUGACACCGAGGCUAUCCCCCAACACACGCCGCCCCGCCCCCGCGCCGCGCGCCAGCCAAUCACAAACAAUGGAGGGAAGGCUCGGCCCCGCCCCCGGCCCCCGCUCGCGCCCCGCCCCCGCCCCUCCCCCCGCGCGCCCGUUCGCUGGCGCGCGCUCGCCCCUCCCCCGCGCGCCGCCCGCUCCCUCCCCCCCGGCCGCCUCGCGCCGAGUGUGUACAAACACAAAAGACGUGCCGGAGGGCCGACGGCUCCCGCCGCGACGGCCGCCCGCCCGCCCGCCUGCCAGCCCGCCCGCGCACCCCCGGCCGGGCUCCAGCGUCCGGCCCGCUGCCCCCCCCAGCCCCCCCGCGCCCACGUCAUCCCGCCCGGAGCCCGGGGUCGGGGCGCCCAGGGCGGUGGGGGAGGGGCGGCGGCCCGGGCGCGGCCGGUGAACGCCUGGCCUGCGGGCGGCGGCGGGGGAGGGAUGGGGUGGGGAGCGGGGGCGGCCCGGGCGGCGGCGGCGGCGGCGGCGGCGGCGGGGGUUGGGGGGUGCGGGCCCGAGGCCGCGGCCGGCCGGGGGCGGCCCCGGGGGAGGGGGCCCGCCCGCGCGCAACUUUCCCCGCAGGUGGCGGCGCGGGGCCGGGGCCGGACGCCUGACGCAAGAUGGCUGUGCUCGGCGCGCCCGACAACAAUGCGCCGCCGCCGCCGCCCGGGCCGCCGCCGCCGCCGCCGCGCCAGCCCAGCGCCGGGACCUCCGGGGCCGCGGCGCCCGCCCGCCUGCCUCACCCGCGGCCGGGGCGGCGCCUGGGGACUGGCCGGUUCCCGUCCUCGGGGCGCCGGCAGGGUGGGUGCCCGGCCCCGGGAUGGUCCCGCCGCGGUGCGCGGCUCCGGGGGACGGCGGGGGCGCUGCGGGGCGCUCCCGGCGCCGGCAUCUCAGCCGCGGACGGCGUCCCGAGCGGUCGGACGGGGGAAGAGUCGCCCAAGGUCACUUGAGUCCGGGGCCGGCCCGGGAGCCGCCGCGGGGCUCCGCGCCUCCGGCGUCCGCCCUGACUCCCUGGGCCCGGGCCGCCUGCAGCCGCCCCCGGAGGGGAGAGCCCCGUAG